rnacentral:rRNA from 1 species
UUCCUACGGGAGGCAGCAGUGAGGAAUAUUGGGCAAUGGGCGCAAGCCUGACCCAGCCAUGCCGCGUGAAGGAUGAAUGCCCUAUGGGUUGUAAACUUCUUUUGUACGGGACGAAACUCCUGGUCGUGACCGGGAUUGACUGUACCGUACGAAUAAGCAUCGGCUAACUCCGUGCCAGCAGCCGCGGUAAUACGGAGGAUGCAAGCGUUAUCCGGAUUCAUUGGGUUUAAAGGGUGCGUAGGCGGAAUAAUAAGUCAGUGGUGAAAGCCUGCGGCUUAACCGUAGAAAUGCCAUUGAUACUGUUAUUCUUGAGUAUAGUUGAGGUGGGCGGAAUGUGUAAUGUAGCGGUGAAAUGCUUAGAUAUUACACAGAACACCAAUUGCGAAGGCAGCUCACUAAGCUGUUACUGACGCUGAGGCACGAAAGCGUGGGGAGCAAACAGGAUUAGAUACCCGGGUAGUCG